rnacentral:rRNA from 1 species
UACGUAGGGGGCAAGCGUUGUCCGGAAUCAUUGGGCGUAAAGAGCGUGUAGGCGGCCCGGUAAGUCCGCUGUGAAAGUCCAGGGCUCAACCCUGGGAUGCCGGUGGAUACUGUCGGGCUCGAGUCCGGAAGAGGAGUGUGGAAUUCCUGGUGUAGCGGUGAAAUGCGCAGAUAUCAGGAGGAACACCAGUGGCGAAGGCGGUUCUCUGGGCAUUACCUGACGCUGAGGAGCGAAAGUGUGGGGAGCGAACAGG